AGGAUGAACGCUGGCGGCGUGCCUAACACAUGCAAGUCGAACGUCCUGUCUCGCAAGAGGCAGGGAGUGGCGGACGGGUGAGUACCACGUGGGUCAUCUACCGUGAGGUGAGGAAUACCGGCGAGAAAUCGCCGACAAGACCGCAUAGGCUCGAUGCAAGUCGAGCAAAGCUCUUUCGAGAGAGGGAGCGCCACACGAGGAGCCUGCGCCCGAUUAGCUAGCUGGUGGAGUAACGGUUCACCAGGGCGACGAUCGGUAGCUGGUCUGAGAGGACGAUCAGCCACACUGGGAUUGAGAACGGCCCAGACUCCUACGGGGGGCAGCAGUGAGGAAUUUUCGUCAAUGGGGGCAACCCUGAACGAGCAACGCCGCGUGCAGGAAGAAGGUUUUCGGAUCGUAAACUGCUUUUCUCGGGGAAGAGAAUGGACGGUACCCGAGGAAUCAGCCCCGGCUAACUACGUGCCAGCAGCCGC
rnacentral:rRNA from 1 species